rfam:Camelus ferus unplaced genomic scaffold scaffold632, whole genome shotgun sequence.
GAGGGUGUGGCUCGGUGGUAGAGUGCAUGCCUAACGUGCAUAAGGUCCUGGGCUCAAUCCCCAGUACCUCCA